rnacentral:rRNA from 1 species
GAUGAACGCUAGCUGCAGGCUUAACACAUGCAAGUCGCGGGGCAGCAUGGGGGUUGCUUGCAAUCCCCGAUGGCGACCGGCGCACGGGUGAGUAACGCGUAUUCAACCUGCCCUUCACCACGGGAUAACCCGGCGAAAGUCGGACUACUACCGUAUGUUGUCCAUUGACGGCAUCCGAUUUGGACGAAAGGCUUGGCGGUGAGGGAGGGGGCUGCGUCCGAUUAGCCAGACGGCGGGGUAACGGCCCACCGUGGCUACGAUCGGUAGAGGUUCUGAGAGGAAGGUCCCCCACACGGGAACUGAGACACGGUCCAGACUCCUACGGGAGGCAGCAGUGAGGAAUAUUGGGCAAUGGGCGUAAGCCUGAACCAGCCAAGUAGCGUGCAGGAUGACGGCCCUAUGGGUUGUAAACUGCUUUUAUGCGGGGAUAAAGUGGCCCACGUGUGGGCUUUUGCAGGUACCGCAUGAAUAAGGACCGGCUAAUUCCGUG